CCUACGGGUGGCAGCAGUGGGGAAUAUUGGACAAUGGGGGGAACCCUGAUCCAGCCAUGCCGCGUGUGUGAAGAAGGCCCUCGGGUUGUAAAGCACUUUCAGUGAGGAAGAACGCCUGGUGGUUAAUACCCAUCAGGAAAGACAUCACUCACAGAAGAAGCACCGGCUAACUCCGUGCCAGCAGCCGCGGUAAUACGGAGGGUGCGAGCGUUAAUCGGAAUUACUGGGCGUAAAGCGCGCGUAGGUGGAUUGAUAAGCCGGUUGUGAAAGCCCCGGGCUCAACCUGGGAACGGCAUCCGGAACUGUCAAGCUAGAGUGCAGGAGAGGAAGGUAGAAUUCCCGGUGUAGCGGUGAAAUGCGUAGAGAUCGGGAGGAAUACCAGUGGCGAAGGCGGCCUUCUGGACUGACACUGACACUGAGGUGCGAAGGCGUGGGUAGCAAACAGGAUUAGAUACCCCAGUAGUC
rnacentral:rRNA from 1 species